rnacentral:rRNA from 1 species
UACGAAGGGGCUAGCGUUGCUCGGAAUCACUGGCGUAAGGUGCGUAGGCGGGUCUUUAAGUCAGGGGUGAAAUCCUGGAGCUCAACUCCAGAACUGCCUUUGAUACUGAAGAUACUUGGAGUUCGGGAGAGGUGAGUGGAACUGCGAGUGUAGAGGUGAAAUUCGUAGAUAUUCGCAAGAACACCAGUGGCGAAGGCGGCUCACUGGCCCGGUAUGACGCUGAGGAGCGAAAGCAUGGGGAAGCCGAACGAGGAAUU